UCCUCAAUCGUCUAGCGGUUAGGAUACCAGGUUCUCACCCUGGAGACCGGGGUUCGAUUCCCCGUUGAGGAA
rfam:Guillardia theta CCMP2712 unplaced genomic scaffold GTITHscaffold_204, whole genome shotgun sequence.